rnacentral:tRNA from 1 species
GGAUAGCUCAGUUGGUAGAGCAUGAGACUCCUAAUAUCAGGGUCAUGGGUUUGAGCCCCAUGUUAAGCA